ensembl:snoRNA
UUGGCCCUGAAUCAAGACCAGCAGUUUGUUGUAGCUGCUAGUUUCAAACAGCAGCCUACAUACAAGUCUUCUAGAGUCUGUUGGCCAUUUCAGAACUUUGGGAAUGUUGUGGUCAAUUCACUAGAAAGAAAUAUCU